UUUCCUACACUUAUUAAUUAUUCUUUUUCUUUAAAAGGAUUGUGCUUUUUCAAUUCUAACUUGAAUUAUAAUCAACAUUUUAUAUUUUUUUUCUUAAAUUUAUAUGUUUAUUUUUGCAUUUAGGGACAUGUAGAGUUUUUGUAAGUAUUAUGUUUUUGUUGGUGAUGUGCGUCUUUUUAUACUAUGUGUUUUUUUAUCCAUAGAUAAGUACUAUAUAUAACAAAUAGUUAGUGCUACGGACAUAAUUUAUAAUAAUUAAAAAAUAAUUAUAUUGUUAUUAUCAUACCAUGAAUAUUAGCUUCAGAAAAGGUUACUAUAGAAAUAUCAUAUGCUUAUGGAGUCUCAAAAUUUUUUAUUAAGAAUAAAACGAUCAACGGUCUCAUAAAAAAUACUAUUUGAAAUUAUUAACAGUGUUACUACUAAUCCCUACACCACAACUCAAAGAAAUAGAAUAAUUUUGAACUAAAGUUCAAAUAUAAUGGAUAAUUUUGGACUUUUUAUUUCAUUUUCACAAUUGUACAGGGUAUAUUAGGAAAUUCACACAGAGAUAAGGACCUUUUAGGUUUCAGAGAAAUCUAUUUAAGACGACGGUAGAGUGAAAGUUUAGCCUCAAAACUACUUGAUCUUAUCUGAGCAGUGGGCUGCGGAGAAGACGGCGACGGAGAAUGUGACCGGCGUAGUUGGGGAGGAGCUACCGCCUUACAUAUAUAGGGUUAAUGGAGGCUCCGUUCAUCUCUUUCUGGCCGGUCAAUUUUUCGGGACCCCUUUUCCCUGCUUUACUGCGAUGAAGACUGUUCGCCAUCUGAGCCUAUCGAAUAAAUCGGGGCGAUGAGGGUUUGAGCGGACUUGACCAUCAUAAAGUUUUAAUUUUUAUGUAAUUUAAGUAUUUUUGUUUCAAAUUGCUGAAGAACAGAUAUCCAGAUUUUGAAAAAAAAUUAUUUUUGUGUGUUAUUUAUUUGAGUUCAUGCAUUUCUCUUGAUUUAAUUUGCUAUAUUUGAAUCUAACCUUCCUUUUGGCUAUAGAUUUUGAUAUUUGAGUUUUUGAAGUUAGCAUUUUACUCAGAAAAAUUUUGAAUUUGCUACAGCAUCAGAGCAUUUUGUUCCUUCUGUAUUCAGAUCUGAAAUGUUGCUUCUUACUUGUGAGCACCUCUUGUUUUAUGUGGGGAUGUUCCUGUUUCGGAAGCAUAUAUUAAUUCUUUUACCAGUUAUAAACAGCGUGAUGAAUAUUUCAUUUCUGCAUCACGCUACCUGUCUUCUGGUACAAACUCAUGUGAUCUAUGCAAUGAUAUGAUGAUCUGUGUCUUUAAUUGUAGCACCAGCAUAUAACAUGAUUUAAAGAUAUGGAAGACUGUAGUAUUUGACAGCUAUAGAACAUCUAAAUUUUAUAUGGUAUAUGUUAUGGGUUUGGGAUCAGGGUAGAACUAUGUCAUGAAGAAGCUGUGGCUUUGUAUUUGGUUGAUUCUGCCUGAAAAGUGUCCAACUUUUGAUGUCUUUUAUGCCUCUUUUGGGUUGUCCUCUAUCCCCUUUAUGACAGUAUAGCAAUUCAAUGUCACGAAUGACAGAUUUUUGCUCUUGCCUGAACUGGAAGUUGAGUUUGAAGCUUUAGCAGAUGCAGGUCAUGGCUGAAGGCUGUUGAAACAAGGCCUUCCUUUGAUUGCGAGUGUUGAGUCUAUACCAACCUUAACCCCCUAGGUUGGGGUUCGAAGAGUGUAGAAUGUAUGCAGCUCUUUCCCUCUGCCUUUAGAUGGUAGAGCGGCUGAACGAAGACGAUUCAGACUAUGGAUUGAUGUAAAACUAAUUGGAUUUCCCUCAAUACUGUGUUUUAUUGAGGUCCAUGUCUUCCUUGGAAAUGGAUUGGCUGCUGAUAUGUUUUAGCAUUUGAUACAUACUUGUAGUUACUGAAAUAUUUUUAUACUAUGAAUUCGAAAAUUGAGAAAUGCAACUUUAUUUUGUUCAUUCAUUAUACUCUCUUUGGAUUAAAUCUUUUGGCAAGUGAAACAUGAAAUGAUGGUAAGAAUGCAGUCUUUACUAGAACUCAUUUCAUUUGAAUACCAGGCUCACAUAAAAUAUUUAUAGCAACCAUAUACGGUGACAUUAUGUACAUUAAAACACACACUAGAUAGUUGUGCAUACAUAACCUCUAUAAUACAGUUUACAGAUGAAUCUCAAAAUCAUCCUGGACGACUCAUCUUUUCAUAUGGAACUUUUAGAGAUAAGUCUACCCUCCAUUCAAGACGGAGGGUGUUAGAAUGUCUGUCUCACAUGAUGAGGAAAGGACUGUUGUUCCUUUUUUAUAGUCUUGAGCAUAGCUUUUCGAGUUUACUUAGAUCAAGGUCCGAUGUCUUAACAAACUUUUAACUCUUUGAGUCCUGUUUGGCCGUAUGCAAAGUUGAUGCUAGAGGAAGAGGAAGUGGUAAUGGGGAGAAUGUAUUGGGAUGAGAUGAAGAUUGUCUACUUGUUUUUAUCACCUUAACUUCUUCUAAGGCAAGAGGCACUGGUUCUUCUGUUUUUGGUGUGUAAGCAAAAGAUAGGUCCUUAUUAGCCGCUAGGGCAAGUAGCUCUUUCUCCUCGAGCCCUUUAACUGGUCCGAGGCUGCAACAAUCUGCACCAUACUUUGUCAAUGCAUCUUUGAAUUUUUUUAUCUGCACCAGGAUAUCGUGGCCGGUGUUAGAAGGAUAAAAGGAAGGCGUUGACAACAACAAGCAAACGACAGCAUUGCUCAGCUGUUGAAUCUCUUAGUCAUCAAGAUCAAUUCAAUGAGAGACAUUGCAGAAAUUAAGAAGGAAGCUGCAUAUAAUGUCAUUAACAGAUUGCUGACAUAUCAGAUAAACUAACCGUGGCAUUGGUGCAACUAAAGCUACAAAGACGACCUUCAGCACCUCUAUAGAAACGGAAAAAUGGGAGAACAUGUACGUUCAGCGAGUAACACAUUGACUUGUGUUCCUCAUAGUUCACAUGCAAAAACUGCACAUCCGGAUUCAUCUCUGCUAACUGACAUAUCUGCAUUUCCCAGUUUUAACAAGACUAAGAUCAUUAAUCCUAUCUUACUGAAAUGGACAGCCAACAAAGUGCAGCAUUAGACAACAAGAAAUGUAUUACCUUUGGAUGAAGGGCUUUGCAGCCUCCACAGCCAGGGGAAAGGAAAUCAACAACGACUAGUUUAUCCCCACCGUUUAGAAGGGUGUCAACGAGGUCUUGAGCACCCGUCACCUCUUUCAUAUUCGGUUGAAGUCCUUUCUCCCACCAUUUAGGAGCUCUCUUGAUACCUAUGCUCAUCUGUGUUUAUGUAGCGCGAGAUGAAAAGGUACAACUUUUUAUAUACUAUAAUAUCAAGCCUGCCAAAUUUUUAAAAAAAAAAGAACAUACUAUCGAGUGAGCCAAUAUUAACCAAUCAUGCUCUGAAUUCGACCAGAAAAUUUCUACGCAGAAAUAGAUUUUUAACACAAGAUCAUGGGAAAAAGAUUGAAAUUUUUUACUUACUUAUCAACUGAUAACGAAAAUUAACAUAAGAAAACUCCGUAUUAUAGCGAGUCCUAGUGGUCAAUGAGUUGAAUUGGGAACAUGAAGCCUCUUAUUUAAUUCCUAUCAAAGGAAAAAACGGAAGGUACCUUCUUCCUUUUUGUUCGAACCAGAUAAUUGUUACAUAUAGUUUCAUAAUAUAUCAUAUUGAAUUGUAUUAUUUCUAUGGAUACAACGUUUAGAUAAAUUAUAUGCUUCUUGUCAUAGUAUAUAUAAUGCUACACAUCAGCCAUUUGAAGUACAAUACUAUGAGGAAAGUAUAGUACAAUACAAUAAACAUAGAUCUAACCUACGAUACAAUAAAAUUUAAGAAACGGUCAAAACUAACCUUAUAUUUAAAUUCUAAACUUAACAAUACAAUAUACAACACGUAAGUUGUAACAACCAUUUUUAAGCACUAAUUUAUAGAUUUAACUAUACAAUACAACAUAACAAUGAAAAUAAACAGUGUGUCUUAAGAUUAAACACAAUACAACAUUGAUACAGGUUACAGUCUUACAGAGAAUCUUUGAUUACUUGAUACCGGUUACAGUCUAAGAGACUAGAAAGAAAAGAAAACGAACCUGAGCAGUAGCAACUGCUGAUUUGUGAUAUCUUCUAUUGAAUUUCACUGGAAAAACACAAAUCGCAUGUUGAUUAGAAUGAUAAAUACCACUAGAAUUCAAAAUUGAUGGAAGAAAUACUGCCUUAUUCAACAAUUUCUCCAUGGAACCUGAGAUUGGAAAUUGGGAAUAUGAAAAAAGUUUUUUUAAAAAAAAAAAAAUUCUUCAAUGAAGAGUAAAGUGAAGGGGUACAUAAAUAAAAGGUUUGAAAAAUGUGAGAAAUGAACAAAUGGCAAUAUUAACUUAUUCCUUGGACGUCAAAAAAAGCUAAAAAUUUGCGAUAACGUGUCAAAUGUUGAACCAAAUAGGAAUAGAAAAAGAAAUAUAUAUGGAUAACAAUAAUACUACAUUAUAAGAGGUGUCAAAUGUUCGACUAAUUUGAAUACGCGACCUCCAAACUUUAAUUAAUAUAUUAUUAUUGUUAUUUACGUGGAAAAUAUUUUUUAUUAUAUAUAUUUUAGUUUUAAUUACUAAAGUUUAAACUCAAUCUUUUUUAAUCUCUCGUUCGAUAUUUAAUAUUCAUCUUAUAAUUUAAUUAUUUUAGAUUCAUAUUGCAUAAAGCUUCGUUACCAAAAGAAUUUCCAUAAGGAUGGCUCGAACUAUGUCUAUAUUCGAGGCUUGAACAUAUACUUAUCAAAUCUAUUCUAUUUCUCUUACGACGAAUAAUCUUUUUUUUCUAAAAAAAAUCGAGUUUAUUUAUUGAUUAUGUGUUAUCUAGAGAUAUUUUUUCGUCAUACCUCCAUGGAAUAGGAAUCAUAUCUAUAUAUAUUUUAUCAUGCUACGCUUUUUAGAUUUCACCUAUAAAUUACACUAAUUUAGGCAAGAAAUAUAAUAAACUGGAUGUUUCUAUUACUUAAAGUUAUUUGCCUCACAUUGUCUUUUUUUAACAAAAAAAUCCGAUGUUCAGUAUUUUUAUUGAAAUUUCAAUUAAAUUCGAGUUGUGCACAAUAGUGUCCACUUAGGGAUGGAGCUUUAGUAAAAAAAAAUUCAUUUUCAAUGUAAAACACUCUCACAACUCAUAUUGGUACAAAACUAUGAUUAUGGGUAACUCAUGAUCCUUUUAGUAAUACAUGUUGGCAUCAAGCCAUAAAAAUGUCAUCAAGAACAAAGACGUAUUCAAAAUUUUGAGAUAAUGGGUGUACUAUUAUGAGAAGGUGGAUCUAAGAUAUAAAUUUGAUCGACUUAAUGUUUGAGUUCUUAUCACUAAAAAUAACUAAAAUUUUAAAAUUAUACGUCCAAAAUUAUUUUUACCUAUUCAACCCACUUAGAGAGACAUUACACAAUUUUAGAAAAAAAAAAAUAAAACGAGAUAAAUGUAAGAUUGAAAUUUCUUACCUCACUUAUAGAGGUGCACCCAAUCAUAAUUGCACGGUAUAUAUUUCAACUAUGAAUACACAUAUCUAUAUUUAAAUAUUUUUUUUAAAAUAUAACAUUACUAUAUAUAUAAUUUUAUGAGGGUAACAUGGGUUCACCCAACAACUCGUCACCAAGGUAGGUUAAGCGUGAGGCUAGUUAAACAUUUGUUUUUAUAAACCCAAAAAAAAUCAAUAUUAUUUUAUGGUUAUAAUUUUUCUUAUAAACAAUAAAGACCAUUAUAAAAAAAUACAAUUAAUCUUUUCUUGAAAAAAUGAAAAAUUAUUUAUUUUUGGUUAGAAAUAUUUUAGAACUUUGAAUUAAACUAACUCAAUUUUUCAUAUUAAUAAAUAAAGUUUUUCAUAACAAUACCCAAAAUAAUAUAUUGCAAACAAAUGAGUAGCUCUUAUUAACUAGAAUUAAUCAAUACAUUUAUAAAUAAUCAUAGUGGAAAAUCUAUUAGAGUAUACAUUUGCUUAUGUAUGAAUGAGUCCCUUUAUUUUUCAAGGUAACACCUUUUUUGUGUUUUCAUAUCAUAAAUUAGAUUCUUUGAUACAGUUAAAUAAUAUAUUUUUAUCUGUAAAUAUCAAAUCAAAUUCAUCUUAGGUACUCGAUCAACAUAAUAUAUACAGAAUAACUAUGGAGAACGUAAUGAUGUUCUACAUUGGUGAGUACUAUUUUUGUUUUUCAUCUGAAAUUACGUAUUAAUCACAUCUAAUCAUGGACUAUAAUGACAUCGAUGAUUUCUAAGGAAAAAAACAAAAACAAUAUAAUUAGAAAUUUAAAAAAUCUCAUAUAAAGCUUCAUAACACUGGAUUUAAAAUGGUGCAUGCGUGAAUCUCAUCUUAGUUUACAGAUCAAUUGAGAGAAUUUUUUUAAAUUUGAACAUAACUCCAAAAGAAUACUAAAGAAUGUUUCUACGUAUAUGUAUAAAUAUACAAAGUUAUCGUAUAAUGUUCUUUUUACAGUGAUACCUUUUUUUUUACCGUGCAUCAGAAUAGCCGCUUGACAAUGUUUACAAUUAGUUGAAAAAUUAAAUGAAGAUCGUGGUUUCAGUUUAGAAUUCAAAAAUAAUACAUAAAUUUGAUAUUUUUUUUCAAAAAAAAAGAAGUUAAUACUUAACUUGAAAAUAUUAUUUGUAUUAUGCGAGAUGUUAUAUUAAAUAUACUUUGUAAUAUCGAAAAAUUAUUUUCGAUUGUGCAUCAGUAUAGUGGUUGUGUAUAGGAAAUAAGUAUCUCACUCAAACAUGAAUUGAUUAAGUCGAACAAUUCAUAUCGAACCAGCAAGAUGAAAAUGAAGAAGAUUGUUGAGUUUGUUUCCCCUUGUAGAAAUAUACAUUUGCUCAUGUAUAAUUGUGUUAUUUUAUUUUUCAAGAUAAUACUUCUUUUGUGUUUUCAUAUAAUAAGACUCAUUUUCCACUUAAGUAGCAUAUUUUCACUUGUAAAUAUUCAACCAUAUUCAUCUUAUGUACCUGAUCAACACAAUACAUGUUGAAUUAUAGAGAAACAAUGAAUUUUUUUUAUUUUCUAACUCAUCUUACAUACUUAAUUAACAUAAUACAUGUUAAAUUACAAUAAUUUCAAUUCUUUAGCUUCAAAUAAUCUUUACUAAUCUAAUAAGGACAAGUAUGCAACUUAAAGAGCAAGGCUCUAUGAUCAAUGGAUAGUAAUUUGGGAAACAAUUCCAAAUCAUGAGAUAUAAAUGCUAAUAUGUUAUCGAUACUAACUAUAAAUGAGUGACUAUUUUAUAUAUAUAAAAAAAAUAGUAAUAUAUGAAAAUAUGUAAAAUCUUUCAAUUGUGUUUUUCAAAAUAUUUAUUGAGUGAAAUUUGUUUAGAAAUGUAUUUCUCGAGUUAAAUCAUACUUGACAUCAAUUGUAAACUUAAACAUGUAGUAAUUAGUAGAUACAGUAAUACAAAACAUUUAGUUUUGAAAAAGAAAAAUAAUUUUAAUUAAUAUCACACUCUUAACUACGUACGAGGUAUAUAUAUGUAUACUAAGGGCUUGUUUGGCCAUACGAUAUGGUAUCAUGAUAUGAAAUUGAAGUUUUAUUUGGACAUGCGAUAUGAAAUUUUGGUGUUGUAUAUUUUCUCAUAUACAUAAAAUCUCAUAACUUCUAAAACUAUUAAAAUAACUCCAAUUGUUUAUUCAAUAUUAUCAAAUAAACAAAAAAAAUCAUAAAAUCGUAUAAUAAUUACCAAGUUAUAUGUUCUCAAAUUAAGUAAUUGUUUGAUCAAUAUAUUUGAGUAAAAAUGAAAUACCUUUCACGGGCUCUUCAAAAUUUAUUGUUCAACAAUCGUGAAGUAUAAGUUAAAGUGACUAUAUGUUAGUUAGAAUAAUAAAUUUUAUGUCGGUGAUAAUAAUAAAUUUCAAAAAGCAAUGAUGUGAUUAUAAAUUGUAUUUACAUAUGAAAUAAAUAGUUAUUUAAUAUAAAUAUGGAGUUAUUUUAACAAAAUAUAAAUUCGUGGAUCAAUUUUUGUAUUAAAAUAACUAAAUCACGAUAUAGUAAUCUCAUAUGAAUCCGUAUCAUUAUUCUUGAAGAAUAUAAUAUCACGUCUCUUGAUAUGAAAUCAACGUAAAAUUACUUGUCUAAAUACUGAUUUCAUCUCAUGACGCGCCAAUUUCUACCGACUAUUAAAAAAAAAGAGACAAAAUUGGGCUUCGAUAGAGUCCUAAACCAUCUAGAUGAAUUGAUGAUUUUUUUUCACGUUAAAUAAAUAAAUAAAAAGUCUCCUAUACUUCUCCUCCUCUUCUUCCUCCUCAUUCUUCAUCAAUUGGCCCUAAAUUUUCGAAACCCUAGUUUUUCCUCUUCAUCUUUAUAGCGAAAAUACGUAUACAUACACAUAAUACAUAGGGUAUUUCUGUUAAUUGAAAGAAUCGAGGUGAUUCGAGGGAGAUCUGAGGAUUUCCCUGGAUCUAUUCAGCGGAUUUUGGUAAAUUUUUUCGAAAUUUCUGUUUCAUAUUGUUUUAUUGGUUAAUAUUCAUGAUCGAAAUGAAAUUUAAUUGAUGUUUCAAUUUUUUGUUAUGUAAUUAGGGCGUUGACGAUUUUUUUGAUAUUUUAGCGGUGAUAUUAAUGAGUUUAUUUGCUCGUUGUAUUGGAUUUUUUUGUUUCGGUUGUAUUGUUGAUGUAAUCUUAGGAAAAUCAAGUAUAUGGGGUGAUUUUUUUUGGUUUAUUUGGAAAAAUAUAGUCUUGUUUAUAGGUUUUGCUGCCAAGAUAGAUGAAGGUAGUCAAGCCCCUAGGGUUUUUGGUCUAGUAUUGAGAACUCAACAAAUGACGUGUGCUUUAGGUGCGAAAAGCCGGUUAUUUAAGUAGAGAUGGGUAGAGGGGGUGGAUUCCACCUGUUUGUUGUAUUGUUGAUGGAAUCAGGUAGAUGUGUUUUUUUGGGUGUAUUUGGAAGAAUAUAGUCCUGUUAAUAGGUCUUGUUAAUAUACCUUGCUGCCAAGAUAGAAGAAGCUAGUCAAGCCCUUAAGUCUUUGGUUUAGUGGUGAGAGCCCAACAUAAAAGCUGGCUAUUUAUGUGGAGAAGGGUAGACCUGGUUAUCCUAUCUGUUCAGCUAGUAUAUGGAUAUUUUAGGAUUGUGGUUUUGUAUCUAGUCAAGAAAAGAUUUGUCGUUCUUUCUUUCUUUUAAAGAAGUCAUUAAUUGCAGCCUGUAUCUGUUAUAUGGCCAUUUAAAUAUUAUUAUUAGUUUGUUGAGUGUUAAUCGGCGUUCAAAUUAUCUACAUUAAGAAGAAAAACCAGUUGUUCAUCAUUUUGAAACCCUUUGGCAUUUGGGGAUUUUCUGAAUUCCAUAUUUUUGUUAUACUUCUGAUGGAAUCAUUGGAAAAUCAGAUUAUGAGUUGUUCUUUGGGUGUAUGUCGAAAAAUAUAGUCUUGUUUAUAGGUUAUGCUGCCAAGAUAGAGUAAGGUAGUCAAGUCCCCAGGGUUUUGGGCUAGUGGUGACAGCGCAACAGAUGAUAUGUGGCUAACACGCAAAAACAUAUUUUUUGAUUGGUGAUAUUCAUGAUUGAAUUGAAAUUUGAUUGAUGUUACAAGUUUUUGUUAUUUAAUUAGGGCGUUGACGAUAUUUUUAAUACUUUCUUUUGCGGUGACAUUAAUGGGGUUAUUGUUUUAUUGUAUUUGGACUUUUUUGCGUUGUAUUGUUGAUGGAAUCUUAGAAAAAUCAGGUACAUGGGUUGUUUUUUUGGGUAGAUCGGUACACCCGGUUGUCGUAUCUGUUCAGCUAGUAUAUGGAUAUUUUUGGAUUGUGGUUUUGUAUCUACUUGGAGAAGACUUGUUGUUUAUUAUUCCUUUUAAAGAAGUCAUUAAUUGCAGUUUGUAUCUGUUAUGGCCAUAUAGAUAUCAUUGUUAGCUUGUUGAGGGUUAAUCUGCCUUUAAAUUAUCUACAUUAAGAAGAAAAACCGACUGUUGACCAUUUUAAACCCUUUCUGCUAUGUACAUUCGCCUAGAUUCAUUUCCGAAUUCUAUUCUGGUUUCUACAAUGUAUCCUUCUUUAAUGUGUGAAUGAUUGCAUUUCUAAUUUUCUUCUUUUAUUUUCACAUUUUCCCUUCUUGAUAUCUGAUUGUGCUAUCGUGCCGCAGACUGGAUAGAUUGAUGAAUAAUGGCCAUUCAGAUGGAUAGCAGUUUAGAUCAUUCGUCACGGGAACGCGUUCAGCGGCUUUUCAACAAGGUCGGUAUUUGUUGUAUCGCCUCAUUGCAUUACCAUUGGAAUUAUAGAUAUCUAGAAUGAUUUAUCAUAAGACCAAGAUAGUGAGUAUAUUACUGACUCACAUACAUAGUUAAUGUUUAAAACUUUUAUUGACCUGCACAAGUUCUUGUUGUAUAUGCAGGUUCAAUGAGUUGUAUUCAUUUAAUGCUUAGAGAUAGUAAUGUGUAUCUUCUUGUUUGGAACAUGUAAUUGACAUUUUCGUUGAUUUUGUUAAGAAUGUGGAGCUGGAUAACAAGCGUAGGAAAGCAGCACAAGCUAGAGUAUGUUCUGACCCCAACGCAUGGCAACAAAUGCGUGAAAACUAUGAAGCUAUCAUCCUUGAGAAUCAUGCUUUUUCUGAACAACAUGAAAUAGAGUACGCCUUGUGGCAGUUGCAUUAUAGAAGAAUUGAAGAACUGCGUGCACGCUUCAAUGCUGCAAUAGCUUCAAGUGGAUCAACCUCUCAGACUGGGAAAGGUCCACCUCGUAACGGUUCGGAUAACAUCAUAAAGAUCCGGACGCAGUUCAAGACUUUUCUGUCAGAAGCAACUGGCUUCUAUCAUGAUUUGAUGGUGAAAAUCAGGGCAAAGUAUGGCCUGACAGUAGGAGGUUUCUCUGAUGAUCCAGGGGAUCAGAUUCCUUCUUCUAAUGAAGCUAAUAAGUCUAUUGAGGUGAAGAAAGGCUUGGUAUCCUGCCAUCGUUGUUUGAUUUAUCUGGGUGAUCUUGCUCGGUACAGAGGCUUAUAUGGUGAGGGUGACUCUAAAGCUCGUGACCUUGCGGCAGCAUCAAGUUAUUACACGCAAGCUUCUUCAUUGUGGCCAUCAAGUGGCAACCCUCAUCAUCAGGUAUCUUUUUUUUAAUUUGGUUUUGUUCUGAAUGACCAUUGACAAAUCUUUUCAACUGUUGGAGGGUUUGAGUUAGAGAAUAGUGAUCAAUAACUUAUCAUUGAUUAAUAUUUCUAUGCGACAGAUAUCUUAUGUAAAAAUUGCUGAUUCUGUGUUUUCUCAGCUUGCAAUAUUGGCCUCCUAUUCCAGUGAUGAGUUGGUGGCAAUCUAUCGGUAUUUUCGUAGUCUUGCAGUAGAGAAUCCUUUUACGACUGCAAGGGACAACCUGAUCAUUGCAUUUGAGAAGGUAAAAAACUUAUUUAGUUGUUGCUUUAAGAGCUUUCAUCUUUGCAUCAGAUCUUUGAAAUGUGUCUUUCUGUCGUCUGUCUUCUUGACAUUUGUUAAUUGGAAAAAGUUAUUUGGAGACGUUGCAAUAGCUUUGUUGUGCCAAUCCCAAAGGCAUAACCAAAUAAUCAUAUUUCAAAUUAUGGAUUUUCCGCCUGGAAUGAAUCAAGGAACUAAGGAUGUUCCUAACAUAAGAUGAUCAAAUCCAUGGUUGAGAAAGUUCCAUUCUUGAUAGAGGUGAUAAUAAAGUAAAAGGAAAUUGAUCCAACCUGAAGUUGUUAGGUCUGUAAUAAUAAACUUUUUCACCGAUUUUAAUUAUGCAACAUUGUCUUCUAUUUUCCGUUCUUGUCUUAUUGGUGUACUGUGAUCAACUGUUCCCACAAUUAUAAGGCGACUCUGCGCAUCUUUGAUUUUGUCUCUUGUUCCUUAAAAUUUUGAUCUGGGUAGGUAUUUUGCUUCCUAUCCCAAGUCUUAACAGUGAUUAAUUUUCAAAAACAUGAUUAGAAAUCUCUUAAAAAGAAAGAAAGAAGAGGAAUUGGGUAAGUUAAAAGUCUCCUGCGAAAAGCGACUGGGGAUAAGUAUGCAAUAAUUGUUCCUGUUAAUGUAGACAAUUUCGUGUCAUGUGUAGAAAACCUUGUUGUGUAGGUUCUCUAUUUGUAUUUGUUUAUCACUUAUACAGCGUUCCCACACAAUUAAACCUUUACUUUGUUUUGAGAAAAAAAGAAUACAUGUCAAUACUUGUGUAUGUUCCUAUAUUUGGAAUCCUAUUAUUGUUAGUGUUAUUAUCAACAAUUGUUGUAUGCUUAAUAUGUACAGGUUUAUUUAUUUUCUCCCGGCCUUGGUUCUGUGGUUGUUUAUGUUUUCCCCCUCCCUUUGUCCCUUUUCCUGAUGUGUACUAAGUAGCUUCAUUAUGCUUCUUGUGUCAUGGAAGUAAUUACUUACCCAAUCCAAGAUAAUUUACUAUUAAUCUUUUGAGGGUGAUAAACUACUUAUAUGGAUUGGUAAAAUGAAAAAGAAAUAUGAAUUACUGUAUUAUUAAGAGAGAAGAAUGACAUAGAACAUAGGUGUAGCUUAUGUUAAACAGUAUAAUUAUGAACUUUUUUUUUUUUAAAAAAAAUAGACAAAAUACUACUUGUAGGAAGUUCUUGUGAUCUUGUAGUGGAACUUUGAUUUUCAUCUAUCAGUUGUGCUGGGAGCGUGAACUUCAAUUUGCACCUUUUUUCUCUGGUUUGUCAAUGAGUGAUCAAGAUGUGAUUAUCUAGUAUAUAUUUCGUAAGUGUUCAAGUUCUGCCUGAAAGAGAAAUUUUUGUAGAAGUUUUCUGCACAUGUUUUCUUUCCGUUUGGACUGUUGGCUAUGUGGAUGGUCUUAGUGUUAAUUGAUUUCUCUGUUAUGGCAGAAUCGUCAAUAUUUCUCCCAGCUGCCAGUGGAUGCUAAGGCUUCGUCUACCAAGGUAACUCCUUCCCGAACAACUGGUAGAGGACGAGGUAAAUAUGAAACAAGGCCGUCUCUGAAAGAUGGAAAGGUUGAGGCAAGUUUACCAAAGGAAAAAGCAUUGAGUACAUCUGAAAUCUUCAAAACCUUUAGCACAGGGUAUGUUCGGUUGAAUGGCAUUCUCUUCACGCGCACUAGGUAUGUUCCUGUCUAAUGAAUAAUAUGAUACUGACGAUAACAUAACUAAGUAAUGACACUAUCUUCUUAUAAUCUUUACUCAGCUUGGAGACCUUUGAUGAAGUGUUGUUGAUGGUUAAGAAUGAUCUGCUUGAGCUUCUCUCUUCUGGGUCUGAUGAGAAGUAUAAUUUUGGUUCAACUGCUGCUGACUGCAGACUGGCAAUUGUCAGGCUCGUGGCCAUCUUAAUAUUCACCAUCCAUAAUGUGAUUAGGGAAAAUGAUAAUCAGUCAUAUGCCGGGAUUCUACAAAGAUCAGUUCUUCUGCAGAAGGCAUUUACUGCUGCUUUUGAGUUCAUGGGUCAUCUGGUUGAGAGAUGUAUCCAGUUAAAUGAUCCCUCAUCAAGCUUCUUAUUGCCUGGUAUUUUGGUUUUCGUAGAAUGGUUAGCCUGCCAUCAAGAUAUUGCACUUGGUAAUGAAUCAGAGGAAAACCAAGCUAGGGCUAGAUCCUGUUUCUGGAAGAACUGUAUAAGUUUCUUUAAUAAGCUAAUGUCAACUGGGUCUAAGUUUGUCGAUGAAGAUGAAGAUGAAACAUGCUUUUUCAAUAUGAGCAGGUAUGAUGAAGGUGAGACUGGCAAUCGUCUUGCGUUGCCGGAAGACUUUGAACUCAGAGGAUUUGUUCCUCUUCUUCCAGCACAGCUUAUCCUUGACUUCUCAAGGAAAUGUUCUUUUGGUGGUGAUAGUGGAAGUAAAGAGAAGAAGUGCCGUCUUCAGAGGAUGAUUGCAGCUGGAAAGGUUCUUGCUACUGUGGUCCGGGUUGGAGAAGAGGGAAUAUAUUUUGACACAAGGGGAAAGAAAUUUGUCAUUGGUAUGGAGCCCCAAACUUCUGAUAAUUAUCUACUUAAUGGCUUAAAUGGUACCAAAUUAAGUGGUAUUGAACUGGAAAGUCCAGAUGCUGGACAGUUGACUGUGGGAGAUCUUCUGCCGAAGCAGCAAUUGUAUGUGGAAUGUGAAGAAGAAGACGAAGUUAUUGUUUUUAAGCCAUCAGUGAUAGAAAAAUCUAAUGACAUCUCUUCAAGUGCUAUGACCUCAGCGGUUCCUGUAGCUGGUAUUAGUGUUGUCAAUGCUUCUUCUGGUGCUAGCAUGGAGUGUGUUGAUUCGUGUUGUGAGAUGGGGCCAUUUCCAUCUGCACUCGAUGGAUUGAGGUUGCAGAAUGGUUGGAGUACUACAAGGCUGCCAACAAGCAUUUCUCUUACUAAUACCCAAUAUAUGCAGGCAAUCCAACCAAGUACUUCAAUGUGGUCUGUAGAGCAAGGUGCUUUUAUGAAUGGAUUGGGUGGCUUGAGCUUGACAGGAAAUGGGCUAAUGACAGAAGCUGAGUUGCUAAAUCAUCCAGAAAUGGUGUCACCUGCAGCAGCACAUUCAGCUCCUUUGCCACAGUCUGUGAAGUUCAGCACUGCAAAUAAUAUUCACUUCCAGGUUCCUGAGGCUGCUAUGUCAUCUACCUUCAGUUCACUUGCACCCUCCGUAGCUUUCUCCGAUAGCAUGUCAAUGAAAUCUUUAGCAAUUACUCAAACAGGAAUGAAGAAAAAUCCAGUGUGCCGACCUGGUAGGCAUCUGGGUCCACCUCCAGGGUUUGGUUCUGUUUCUUCCAAAGUAGAUGACUCUUCAUUUGCGUCGACACUUAAAAAUGAAAAUAACCCCAUCCCUCGUAUGGAUGAUUAUAGCUGGUUGAAUGGAUAUCAGUUACCUUCAGCACAUCAGAGCAUUGUUUACAAUAACUCGGACAAUCAUUCAGCUCAACCAUAUCACUCUGUAAGCAAUAGUAGCUUAGUCGGGAUUAGCUUUCCUUUCCCUGGGAAGCAGGUGCCCUCUCUGCACAUGCAGUCAGAUAUCCAGAAAGCAAAUAACCAAUCUGUUGGAUUGCCUCAGCAGUAUCAAGGACAGUCCCUGUGGCAAGAUCGUUUCUUUGUGUGACGUGGAUAGUGAGACUAGAUGGUGAAGUGCAUCUUCCUUGUUCUUUUAAUUCAUUAAGUUACUUGAAACAAAUUAUUGUGUUCUUCCAUAUACCAUAUUAUACAUUCGCUUAGUUGUAUUUCCCAAUGCUGUACAGGUUAACAAUUACUGGGGAGAAUGACGGCUAGCCUGUUGCUACGAAGUUCAAUCAUCAUAUUGCAGUAUGGCCAAGGUUAUUAUGUUUUUGUUGCAGCAUGGAUGGUCUUGGAUAGUUGCUGGCACUCGCUAUUGAGCAGGUAUUUUCUGCUACCUUAUCUCCCUGUUUCUCUCCCCCUUCUGGUUACUGUUUGACCUGGUGAGUAAUUUUUCUUAGUCCAAAACAAUCAUACUUGAGUGGAUAAGACAGGGUCCUCCAUCUAACUUUCCAUACAUAUGAAGAUGUUCCAGCUAUCAAUUAGCUGCAUGUCAAUGAUUAGGCAGUAUGGGUCACAUGUCAUACAUAAGCUAAUGGCUUCAUAUCUUUCCCCUCUCUCCCCUUUUCAUUUCUCUAUCUUGAUCAUGCGGGACAUACUCAAAACAAACGAGAGAUGGUUCUUUCUGGACAGAUCUCUGUUGGACACCUCUCCCUCCCCCUUUUCUUUUCUUCUAAGAUCAUAUAUUUACUAUAACCUACUACGCACUUGCCUAUACCAUGUCUCAGUUGUCUCACACCGGCCUGGUUUGUGAUGGUAUUUUUCCUGUUAUUCCUCGGGGAGUCUGGGCAAUGAAUAGUUAGAUCUGGAUGCGUGCAUCUCUUUCCUUCUGAACUUAAAGGAAUUGGGGAUAAAACAGCAGUGCCUCCAUGAUAUGUUUCACUUGUCUGCGUUUAACUUGCCCAAUUCCAAUGUCUGCUUAGACUUUUACCUCCCUCUUGUCAACGUCAAUUUAUUGGGAGAUUUCUAUGUCAAGUUUUCCCGUGCUAACAAAUGUAGUAAUUUUCUGUUUGUCAUCUUCACCACUAAAGUCUCUCUGGGUUUGGUGCAGCUUGUGCCGAGCUAUUCAAACUGGUUGAGUAGAGACCGAGGUUAGUAGGUGCAGGAAUUUGGGAGCUUUUGGAUUAAGAAACCUUGUCUUGGUUGGAUUGAUAAUUGUACGGCUGAGGGAUCAGGCUUUGGUGGAUAUCUGUUUAGAGCAGAAGCAACAGUAAAUCUACCAUGGUUUAUAAAUGAUCUCGACAAAAAGAGUUCUGCUACUUGUGAGCAAUUUUCUACAAUACACAAUUAAGGUUAGAUAUCUUGGCAGUUCCAUAUCUGCCUUGUGUGAAGUUCUGAGAGUAUUUUGCUUAAAGAUGAUGGCGAAGGAUUUGUUAUCGUUGGAGUACUUUGUGGUUGUUAGUUGGAAAUAAGUAUUAGCCUAUGGCUAUCUUGGUACUGUGUCUUAGUGGCAACAAUUAUCUUGUUAUGUUUGUUCUGUUGGACAAAUUGCUGGAUUGUUCUUUUUUUGUUGGAUUAUUAAAUAAUGUUUUGUUAGUUCUUUUGGUGACAUGAUGCCCUUAUAGAUCUUGCUAUUGCAAAUAUCAUUUCCCAUGUUUGGUUCGGAAUGAUAAUUUGAUUAUAAAAUUUUGUUCGCGGCAUCAAUGUAAAUAGCAAAUUCUAUUGACAUAGACCUCGUUUGGACGGGUUUAUAGCUUAUGACUCAUGAGUCAUUCAAGUGUGGAAGAAUCUUUGACUUAUAGUUUAUUACCUUAUUUUUGUUAUUUUAACUUCAAUAGAAGUGUGUCGAAAGAAUCUUUUUUUUUUUGAAAAAAAUUAUCUAAAUAUUUUUUCAAGUGUUUACGUAGAAAUAUAUAAAAUAAGUAAUAAGACAAAGGAGAUGAUUCAUAUUGACUUCAGCUAGAGAAGUUGAAUCCUGGUUGAUGAAUAUUAUAUAACAAAAAUCAAAAUCAGUCAUCUAUAAGGGAAAAAACAAAUAAGUGAAUGAAUGUAGCAAUAUUAAUAUUUGAAAAUUAUCUUUUUUAUGUAACUUUUUUCGUAUUAUAUAAGUAUCCUUUUCGGAUCUCACUUAUAAAGAAACUUCAAACUGGAGCAAAAACAAACCACUUGCCUUUUAUAAGAGAUUAAAUAGAACAAAAAUAAAUUAUCCACUGCUACUUGCCCUUUUAGUGGGUCGUGAUGCGAAUUUAAAUUAGUAGUGUGUUAACUUGCCCUUUUAGUGGGUCGUGAUGCGAAUUUAAAUUAGUAGUGUGUUAACGUGGAUGCCAGACUCCAGAUGGAAAGCCAAAAAAAAGAACAGAACACCAUAUGUUCAUGAACCAUACUGAAAAAAAAGAACUCAUAAUGUUUGAGGGGCCUAGUCAAUUGACAAUUAAAACUUCAUAUCAAGACAAAGUUAAUUUGCAUCAAUCCUUUUACAACUUUUUCUAUACAAUUGCUAUCAAAAUAGAAUAUAUAUAUAUAUAUAUCUAUAAUUUAACAAAAAACUUUCAGAAUCACAGGACAAAAACUCCAUGAAGCAUGAGUUCUUCUAAGCUUCAACAACAAAAAAUGUUGAAAUCCUUCACAAUACAAGAUCCAUCUUGCAGCUUGAACUCCUCUAAUCAAAUUUAAAACUUUCAAGUAUGAAAUUCCUUUAUUAAUUGUCCUCUACAAAAACCUUGAAUAUGUAAUCGCGAAAACGCCUUGAAUAUGCCAUUGGAUCAACUGCUGAGAUAGAAUUUGGAUCACAUUGUAUAGACUUAUAUGCAUGUUCAAGCUUUUUGGUAAUGUCAUAGUCUUGAAGUAUAUCAAUUAUUCCGAAAAAUAGUGUCACAUCAUACAACUCCCCUGUUGGUUCUCCUACCAGCUGAAAAUCCAAGUCAUUUUUCCUGAAUGUCUUCUCAACUCUUGCAGGCAUGUUUAUUCCUAGACUUAUGUUUGUCAACCUGCAUUACUUAAAGUCAUAACAUAAGCUGCACGUUCGAUGAUGAAAAGUACUUACUAGUUGUGUUGCUCAGACUCUUCAAAGAUGAUGUGCUGUCAGAUCCUAGUAGUGCAUUUUUCUUGACAGGGGAAUGACAACAUUUUUAGGUAGUCCGAGCAACACAGCUUAGAAGAGAUGAUCUUUAGUCCUAGUUCGAUUACCACAUGAAGACUAAAAUGUCAAGUUUACUUAUUGAGAAGAUUGCAGACUUGACAGAUGAAAAACUUACCCUGCAGGAUUAAGAAGUAAUAGAUCCACAUCUGAUUUAGUAAACCGAUGAAUUGGUUCAGCAUCUGUGGUUCCAUUUUCUGCAAACAUUAGGAAAAGAAUGAUGGUUUCUUGUUUUCUUACAAUAAAGUUUGAGCCUUUAUUAUGAGGAGAGUUAAUCAGCAGUUGAGAUAUGUCGCCGAGCUUAGAUUGUUUGGGACUGAGGCGUAGUAUUGACAAAUGUAAAUGUGUAAGUGUUAUAAGAUUAGAACUAACCGAUAGGCGUCCUACAGCCUGAAGGAGUUUGAUAUCCAGUACUAGCAUUUCCUUCCCUAAAAUUUACACCAACUAAAAGACUAUAAUCCAUUACUCUUUCCUGUUCCAAGAGCUCACAAUCCCUAUCAACUUGCCUGCAAUAUCAAAGAAAUUUUCGAGCCAGAGGUGGAUUCAGGAUUUAAACUUAAUGCUUUCAAGAUGCUCUUUCUUGCAAUACCAAUUGAGACUAGAUAUCGGUAUUGAUAUAAUAAUAAGGAAUUAACGCGAAGAAACAAAUUUUACCUUCGGAACUCUUCAAACCAUGACUUUUGUAACUUGAAUAUGAAGUUGAGAUCAAGGUCUUUAAGAGUAGUUGUUGUAUCAAUUUCUGAUUCUGGUUUAUCUGUGAUCCUGCCAAAAGUUGAUCCUUUCAAGUCGAAGCGUUUAUGAAUAGUGUAAUUGGUGCAGAAGAGAUUCCCAAUGAUCACGAACCGGACCUAGUUAAACCAUUGAUACAAGUUCUUUUGGUAAGUAACUUAACUAGUGUUCAAUUUCAAUGCAUUAUAUGUAAGUAUACCUUCUUUUGAGCUGGUCCAUUUAGCUUCAGGCAAUGCAGACCAUAGUAUCUAGUCACAAGGGUGUUCUCGAAAGCACGGAAAUGAUCAUAAUACGCAUUUAGCAUCCUUAAAAGUACCUAAUGAUCAUUCAUUGACAAGAAAAAAUCAGAAAGGAACAUGUAGUUUGCAGAACGAAGAAACGAUGACUUCUCUGCAAUGCUUAAAAAGUUUGAGUUGAGGGUCUAUUAGAAAGAGUCUUUCUGUCCCUCACCUUUACUUCUGCCUUUUUCAUUGUCUUGAUCAUAUAUCUAUCAUCAUUUGUCAAGUAAAAAAAACUUCCACUUUUUCCCGGAGAGCUUAGCUCUCUAAGGGGGCCACAAAUAGACAACAUAUACUCCGUUGCAUCCACCUUGAACAACGUUCUCAGAGCCCUGCACAGUAUCAUGUCGAAUAUAACGUUUACUUUUUGUUCUUUAAGUAUACUAAGUUGAUAACAUUGCAUAGUGAGGCAUCAUUACCUGAAAACUUUUGGGCAAUAAUCUUUCCAUCUGAACUCACAAGACUGAUGGCGUGGCGUACUCUUGGAUCCUUCAGGUGGAAAUCUUGUCCAGUACUUCUCUUUCGGAUCAAAAGCUGAUGCAUCAAGAUCGAGUGUUGGAGGAGGGCCAAGCUUUUGUACUGUAUGCCUAUAUGGUUAUUCACAUUACAAGGUACCAUAAACAAACAAAAAAUACUCUUCUCAGUCUAGAAAACGCGCAAUAAUAUGACAGAUGCUUACAGGUUUUCGAUAAGUUUUAUACACCGACUGUAUAAAGAAACUUCACAUUAUCAGUGUAGUUUCAUUUAUCAUAGCAAGUCAUUUACCAUUUUUUUCCAGGCUUCAUGUUUAUAAAUGCUUAUUAUAUAAAGUUAAGUGAUCUGUUAUGUAAAUAUGUUUUAUCUGGUUAGUACAUAUAUAGAAACUAGAACUGUAAUAAAGGGCAGUUCGGUGCACGAAGCAACAAUCAUACUGUGAUUUCACAGCUAAAACCUAUAGAUCACUCGGAGACAACUUUACCAUAUCUUUCUGAAGAAACUAGAGCUGUAUAUGAAAGUAAAUUUAACUACCUGAUUCCCAACUGCAAAUUGAGCAUAAGCUCAUAAUUCUUAUGCCCUUUAGAUAUUGUGAUUCCUUGCCUUUUGACAACCUUAGGAAUCUUAAUAGGACUCCCACUUUUAUAUCCAUCAGAUUCUAGCAAAGCAACCAUUGCGUCGAUAUCUGAACAAGAAUUACUUGUAGUAGCAACUAAUGUUGUUCCAACUCCAUCUGAUAACUGUAUUCUACUAAACUCAGUAUCAGUUGAACCGUCUAUGGACAUCCUCCUGGUCGUCCUACUGUUGUCUACAGGCUUUGACGAUGACAUCCUGACAGCGAGUUUCUUCUGUGAAGGCAAGACUGAAAGUAUAUCAUUUGGUGAGAUAGUACAUCCCAUCAAAUCCACAUUGAAAACUUGUUGAGGAUCCCAUUCAAAAUUCCCCCUUUGUAACAAUGACUCAGAUGGAUAAAAAGUUCCAUUCAAUUCAUCAGGAUCUCUACUCCAAUUGCCAAUAUAAUAACUUCCAUCAGCCCAAUGAAAAGUACCUUUGCCUUUAGGCAAUCCAUCUUCCCAGUUGCCUUCAAACAAAUUACCAUUUUUCCAAUACAAUUUUCCAUCACCACAGAUAGUACCAUUAGCCCAUUGACCCACAUAAUAAUUUCCAUUUUUCCAAGUAUACUUACCAUUAGUUUCUUGUAAUCCUCUACACCAUUCCCCAUCAUAACAAUCACCAUUUGCAUAUUCAUUAACCCCAUUUCCAUGUUUUAAAUCCAUUAACCAACAACCUCUAAAUGUAUCACCAUUUGGUGCUGUAUAAGUACCUUCACCAUCCAUAUAACCAUUCUUGAAAUUACCUUCAUACAUUGCACCAGAAGGCCAACUAAAUACACCUUGGCCUUUCAUUUUACCUUUACUCCAAUCGCCUACAUACAUACAUCCAUCCGUCCACCAAUACUUACCUUGUCCAUUAGGUAAAUUAUCGACCCAAUAUCCCGUAUAGUAAUCUCCAUUUGAUAGAAAUUUCUCUAAUUGAUAUGUUUCACCAUUCAUUGGAUGGUAGUAAUCUUCUCCAUCAACAUUUUCUUGUUGUUGUACAUCUUCUUCUUCCACUAUUUCUUUUUCUUUGUUCAUGUUGUUGUUAUUAAACUCACCUUCAUCAAUUUGUGUUGUUGGUCCAUAGGUUCCAAAUAUUGUAUGUGCUCUUUUUCUAGCUACCAAUUGUGUUUUUCUAACCGUUGCUUCCAAUGCCUUCAUGAUUAUUUGUUUUUCAAGAUCAACAUGAAUCCUUUUUCAUCAAAAAUCUGAAAAAAAUAAAAUCACUCUGUUACACUUUCUUGAUCCAACAAUAUUGUCUUCUUUCUCUAUCCUCUCUUACGUGUGAUGUAACAAAACAGACAAUUAACAGAAACCAACAACAUAUUGUAUUCAUUCUCUCAAUUUUUUACAACUUUAUUUUUUUUUUAUAAAAAAAAUAAUAUAUAUUUUUUAGUAUAUAUGGUCUUGAAUGUAAUUGUUACACUUGCUAGUACUUGGACACCCUUGAGUGAAAGUGUCUAAUUGGACACCUUUCGAAAAAUAAUAUCAUAUAUAUAUAAGUACAACGAUACACAAAGUGAUUAUAACAUAUUUUGGAUAGCCUAGUAAUAUUUAGAUGGUUUGAAAGAAUCUCAAGUGUUCGAAUCUCACUAGGGUAAAAAUGACGGAGGGUAAAUUGAGAGUGAAUUGACGAGGACGAGUCACGUAAAGGGACCGAAAAGCUUCUAAUCUCUAAAGAAGGGGUGUGCUUUACAUCUUAAAUGAAUCCCAUUUUGUACUUUCUCCGUUUAAAAAAGAAUGAUUUCUUUUUCUUUUUAGUAUGUUUAAAAAAGAAUGACUUUUUUUUAUAACAUUUUAAAAUCGGUUUUUCACGUGGCAUGUUUAAGGCCAAAAUAUCAAAGGACAAUUUAAUACAUUUAAGCUAACUUUAAUUUAGAACCACAAGAUACAAAAGUCUUAUACUAAACUCCGUAUCAAAUUAAAUCCGAUUAUUUUUUAUAAAAAGAAGCGAGUAAUACAACAAAAAAUUGAAGAGCUUUAUAAAAUAUAGUAAAAAUUCACAUGGUACUUAUGUUUAUUAGGCUUGAUAAUUACUUGUGAUUUUAACUUAAGUUUAUAUCUUUAUUAAAAUGAGCUUCCAAUAAUUUCUUUUUAUGCGUAAAAGCUUGAAUUUAAAAUUUUAAAUCAUUCUUAAUUAAAUUAUAUAGCUCGAACUCGAAAUUUCUGAUUAACGUCCCGAAGCAUUCUUGAUCAGCUCAAGACUCCCAUGUUGCUACUCCGAAUCAUGCGCUGCUUUUAACACCCUUUUCCCUUUUCUCUCUCUUCUUUCCCAUUGUUUCUAAUUUUCCAUCCAACUUUUUUUUUUUUUGAUAAAACCAAGAAAAUUGGUACAGCCUAUUUUGCUGUUUAUGAAGGGAAAAAAGGUUGAUUUUUUUUUAACAAUGCAGAAGGGAUAAAAACCAAUCAGUUUGGGCAAAUAUGGUUAAGCAGAUUUAGGCAUUGCUUCUGUAUAAAGUUAUAGAGAUAUAUAUUUUAAUUAUAAAUGUCUGAUUUGGUUGCUCGGACGGGUCGGCAUCAACAGCGGUAUGAAGAAGGUUAUCGACUCAUUGCUGGGUACUUCUCUUUUUCUGUUCUUUAUGUGUAAUGUUUCUGUUUUGUUUGGAUUUAUUUUGGAUUUUGCUCAUUUGGGUUUUGUUUGGUUUUUGGGAAUUUUUCUGUUGAAUGUGGGCAUUUUGUACAUUGGUGUUGAUAAUUGAUGAAGAAGGGUUCUUAAGGAACAAGAUGGAUUGCAGUUCCUUUUAGUUUAGUGUUUCCUUUGAUUGCGUUUGUUUAAGGGUUGGGUUUGUGCAGUUUGAUUUUAAGAAAAGGGGGCAAUUUUUCAGCUUUCUAUGGACUAAUAAAGUUUAGUAUCUUCGAAAAGUUGAAGUCUUUUCGCACCCAAGGGGGUGGUCUAAGGGUCACUGAAGUAGGUUGUGAACCAUUUGGUUCAGGUCCAAAUCCCAAUAGAGAUAUCUAUCUGUCCUAGCUUUGGUUGAUUGACAGAGUUGCUUGUUGCGGGUGGGAGGUGGCAUGUAUCCCGUGGGAUUAGUUGAGGUGUGUGAAAGCCCCCGGACAACGAUUAUCAAAAGAAAAAGUUGAAGUCUUUUCGCACCCAAGGGCGUGGCCUAGUGGUCACUGAAGUGCGUUGAGAACCAUGAAGUUCAGGUCCAAAUCUCAACCGAGAUUGUCAUCUGUCCUAGCUUCGGUGGACAGACAGAGCUACCAGAUACUUGUUGGUGGUGGGAGGUGGCAGGUUUCGUGUGGAAUAAGUCGAGGUGUGCGAAAGCUGGCCCCGACACCAGUGUUAUCAAAAAGAAAAGUUGGAGUCUUUUAUGAAGAGUAAUGCCCAAGAACUGUUGGGACAUGUGGGAAUAGGCUGGCAUUGUUCUCUUCAAGUUGCUUAUUUAAAGAUAAGUAAAAUUUGAGGAGGUAAAAGCAGAAUAAUGACUCUUGGAAAGUUGGAGUAGGAAUUGGGUGACCCUGUCUAUUUAUGUUUUCUCAGUUCCACAUAAUUUUAUAAUGAGCAUAAGAUGAAAUUAGGAGGCAUACUGUCAUCAUUUAAGCAUAAAACAAAUCAAAAUUGGGGUUAUGUGGUUGAAAUUACCUCUGAAUCCCACUAUAUCAUCUUAUGAAUUCUUUCGCUGAUUCAGUCAGAAGGACUAUCCUUAUCCUUCUCAUCAUACUUAUUAUCUCCAAGUUUCCAUUCUUAUUCUGUUUAAUAUCUCCUUCAAAGUAGAGUCUUAACUCAUAAGCCAUGACAUAAAACAUAAAUGAAGUUCAAAAAACAUGUAGUGGAACUUUCUUUAUCCAUCAGACGAAUGGAAAGAUAUGAGAGCUACGAGGGCUCGAGCUACUUGACAGCAAAUAAUAUUCAUCCUAUCACCAUUAAAAACUAUUAGUAUGACUUCACCAAAUAGCCAUGGGAUGGGAUUAUUUUUUAGCUGAAAAAAUGUGAGGAGGAAAAAGACUGAUGGAAGGAUUGCUUCCCUUUCUUAGUUGACGGGCAUCACACCUUGUUAGCUCUAGGGUUUGGCUUAGUUCUGAGCUAUUCAGGCUGCAACUUAGCGUGGUGACAUUGACUGGGGCUUCAAUGUUUUAUAUUGUUAAGAAUUGUUGGUUUUCGAGUUAGAAAUUGUAGGUCGACUCUUUUAAGAGUGUGCUAUGCACUGAAUACUUGAUUUGAUCUUUGGAAAGUUAUAGAAAAGCAACUACACAAAGUAGAAAAAUUAGGUACAGAAGAUAAAUCCUUCCGUGUCUAGAAAAUAUUGGAAUAUGAUUCUCAUAAAAAAAUGCUCUUAGAACAGAAGUAGUAUGUGGAUUUUUAUGGAGAAAAGAUAAUCUUUUGGCUUCUAAAAAGUGAAGUAAGCUCAAUUUUCAAAUUUUUGCUCUUCUAAUUAAAUACUAAGCAUGUCAUUUGAAGUUGACAUACAAGUUCACUUUGUGGCUGUCUUUUUUUCAUAAUUGAGGUGGUAGAUCUGACUUUUUGACUUUGGGGUCUCUUUUCCACAAGUACACGACAUCUUUAUAUGAGUUUUAGACCCCUGAUAAUCGUUAUGUUGUUUAACGUCUUCCAUUUAUCAAAGAUAUUUUGCUUUUUCAAAAUCUGAAAACAGUCGGCAACUACUGCAUUAACUUCCUGGGUUUGCAUUUGAAAUCAGAAUAAUAUUGCCUUAGGACCUGUAUAUUCUGAAUCAUAACGAGAGUUGUCACAGGUGUAUACCGUUCAGGUUCAGAGAUAUGGAACAGAAUGGUGAUGACACAUCUGAAAAGAUAGUUGAAGUACUGAUGAUAAACUCAACGAGCGGGCCUGGUCUUCUGUUUCCAAAGGUGAGAACUGUUCUUUUGGAUUUCAAGCAAUAUGCUAGGGUAGUUGAAAUGACUGAAGUGUUUUAUUGGACCAGCCUUAAGUUAACUUAUGUGACUUUAUCUUCUGAUGGUUCUAGUGGUUGUGUCCUCUUUACCACUUGGUAUUUCAACCUCAUAAUUAAAGAGAUUUGCUAACUUUGUUCCACCUCGCUGUCAAAUUGAACCUUACCAAGUUAAACAACUAGAAAGAUACCAAGUUUGGCAUUUGCAGUAAGUUCUCCUUUUCUAUAUUUUCUGGGCAUCACACAUGACUUGAUAGGCUUCUUGUUCUUUUCUUUAAUUGUUAUUUUUUUUGUUUAUUAGUAGCACCGUGAUAUUGGGGAAUAAGAUCUUAGUUAAUUCUUUUUGUUCAUGUUUAUUUUGCCUUUAGUUGACAAGAUGUCUGUUAAUUGACAUUUCUAUCUUUUGUAUAUACAGGGAGGGUGGGAAAAUGAUGAAACAGUUAAAGAGGCAGCUGUUCGUGAAGCCAUAGAGGAGGCUGGAGUUCGUGGGGAUAUAGUGGUGAGAUCAUUGUAACCUUUCUUCAUUUAUUCUGUAGUAUUUGGACACGCAAAUAUGUUAUUCCAUGUUGCAUGGAGGUUCGUCAUGCUUUAGUGGAGGAAAGAUCACUCUUUAGUGAUGUAUUUGCAUGUCAAAUGGACCACAAUAGUAACAUUUUCUCUGCCUUUGAGCUUUGGAUGUGCUCGUGUCUUUUUAUUACUAUAUCAUCUUUAAUUCUCUCUGUGCAGAAUGUUCUUUUAUUAUUAGUGGAGUGAAUUUUUUUACAAGAAAGCAUCAUAUGAUAUGAUGAAGCUUCAAUAUGUUUUUUUUAAUGAAGUAGGAGGUAUUACAAAAUACAUCAAGAAGAUGCAAAAUUUAGCACUGGACAGUGUCUAAAUGUGAUGCAACAAUAACACUUACAAAAGCUGAACUUCUGUUGGAGCAUUCUAGGAAAAAUAUGCUUGUUUUAGUUUAGACUUUAGAUUGUCUUGGUGAAAAACUUCAAGCAAUCCUCUCUUGAUUAACAUAACGUUUUAUCUUAAAAUAAGUAUCUUGUGUAAAUAACUUGUAGGUUGUAGCGUCUUUAGAAGUGAUAUCAUUCCCUUUUCUUUUGUUAUCAUGUAUGUAUUGAUUUUAUACCUCUUCUUUUUCAGCAUUUUUUGGGAUACUACCCCUUUAAAAGCAAAACACUUCAGGACGAGUUCAGUCCAGAAGGUCUGUGUAGAGCUGCCAUGUUCGCUUUGUUUGUUAAGGAAGAGCUUGACUGUUGGCCAGAACAGAGCCGCCGAAAAAGAAGUUGGCUGACAAUUCCUGAGGCAAUUGAAUGUUGCAGGCACCCAUGGAUGAGAAAGGUCCUUGAAGAAGGAUUUUCGAAGUGGCAUGAGGAUGGUAUGGUAAGCACCAUUAACAACAACGAUGACUAGUUUUUCUCUUUAGUCCUCCCUUACCAAAGACUGAAGUUUUUUUAAAACUUUAACGGGUAGAAACAACUAUGAAGUUGGAUCUUAUGUCAAACUAUAAAUCUUCCAAAAAAAGUGACAUGGUCACCAUGUUUUGAUAACUUAUUAUCUGGUUCUUUGCUUUUCAUGAGACUGAAGGUGAAUUUGAAAGAAAAGAAACAAGAAAAUUAUCUCCAUCUUCAUCAUUUUUUUUCUAUUGCUAAGCUACAUUUUCAGUUAUACAACUAGUGGGACUAACCAAAUUAGUUAGAUUACCAGAUGAUGCAUUUCUCUGCAACUGUGAUUUCAUUAUAAUGACAUGCGCAUUAUAGCCCCUCUUCCCGGAACUGUGCAUGAACGCAUAAUGCUUUGUGCAUUGGACAUGCUUAUUAUGGACAUACUACGCGAUAUAGUGUCCAUAAUCUGUUGCGGGGAAGGCAAAGAAACUUGUUAAACAGGCCUCACCAUGUGUAUGCUUAACAACUGAAAGUUGUGUGAUGAAUGCCAUUAAACAACACUUAGUUCUUUUUAGUUGUUGCUAAUUAUCUUUAUAGCCAAAAGUGAAAUUUGUACCAAAUGCAUUGCCAUAAUUAUACAUUCAGUCUGCACUUGGAGGAUAUAGUCUAGUAGUCAAUAAUGUGGACAGAGUUUCUCGAUAACUAUGCUGCUCGGAGAUUUCUUCUAGCCUUAUUGAUUAGAGUUAUCUGGUAACUGUGCUGAUGGGAGGUAGUGAGAGUGGGUACCUCGUGGAAUUUAGUGGACACGUGUAGGGGUGUGAAAAAAUCGAACCGACUGAUAAAUCGAAUCGAAAAAAAUGUUAUUGGGUUAUUGGGUUUUCAAUGGGUUUAUAAAUUUUUUUAUUGGGUUAUGGGUUCGGUAUCGGUUUUUACUAUUGGGUUAUUGGGUAAAUCAAUAAAUCAAUAAGACAGUUAUAAUUUAUUAUUUUACCCUUCCUAAUUUUUAAAUAUUCCUCCCUUCGUUUAAAAAAGAAUGAUCAUAUUUCCUUUUUAGUCUGUUUCAAAAAGAAUGACUCACUUUCAUUUUUGGCAACACUUUAACUUUAAUUUUCCACGUGACAUGCUUAAGAUCAGAAGAUUAAAGGACAUUUUGGUACAUUUGACAUAACUUUAAUUUAGAACCACAAGAUUAAUAAGUCCUCUUUCUUUUCUUAAACUCUGUUCCAAGUCAAACUAGGUCAUCCUUGUUGAAACGGAGGGAGUAAUAAUUAAUAUAUAAUUACACUAUAACUAUAUCACAUUAUUAGUACUCUACCGACUUCACACUAGGAAACUUUAUAUUAGUUUUUACUAUAUACCUAAAGAUUAAAGAAUUGUAGCUAUUUUGAUUUUAUUUUUAGUUUUAGUCUUGUUGGACUAGUUUAUUUUAGUUCAUUGUGCUAUGUUUUCGUGAUAACAUGUAAUUAUAGUCUUCGCACUAUAUUUUCUCUUAUUGAUGCAAUUUCUCAUUAUUUUUUUUGUUUCAUCAUAUCAAAGCAUUUAGAGAAGUGAGAAGACAUAAUAUUUUACAGAUAUUCUUUUAUUAGGUAAAUCGAAAACCUGACUGUUGAUGAUCAAGAAUUGAUAAAUUGAAAAUCGAUAAAGAAUAUUUUAUCGAUUUGUUAUAUUGAGUUAGCAUAUUUUUUAAAAAUAGAAAAUCGAUAAAUUAAAUCGAUAGUACAUAAAAUUAAAUCGAACCAAUCAGUGUACACCCUUAGACACAUAUACAAGUUGACUCCGACAUCACGAUAUUAUUUUGAAGCUUAUGCAUUUAUAUGAUUUUAAAUUAUUUGAAUUUCUCUUCUUCCUUUGCCAGAAAGAAAUAUAAAAGUUUGAUUAGAAUUGCUUUCUAACUUUAAAAACUUUUGGUCAAUUUUAGAAAUUAGUCAAUCUUUUUUAUUGUUGGUCCAUUGUUUGUUACAUACAAUGUACUACUUAUUAUUCUCUCCGUCCAAAAUUAGUUAUAUUUCAAUUCUCGAGAGUCAAAUUAUAAUAACUUUAAAAAUAACUUUUUUCCGUCAAAUUGACAUGAGUACAAUUACAACUAUAUUAUACUUUUAGUAUAAUUUUUAAAUAUUUAGAUUUUAAUUAUAAAUUAUUUAAUUUAUUUAAUCGAAUUUAACUUUAAAGAUUCUCGACUCUUACUUGGGAAUGUUCGAAUUAAAGGACUUCAUACAUUUUUCGAGUGAUUUUAGAAUUUAUCCCAAAAAAAGGAAGAAAAAGAAGAGAUUCCUACUUUACUUCUUACGUUAAAGUUUUAUACUUUUUUCUCGACAAUUCGAGAUGUAUAAAAGUUGAUCCAAUAUUUAGAUAUGAUAACUUAUAAGUUAUAAUAUUUUAAAAUAAUAAGUUUAUAUAUGAUAUUUAUUAAAAUUUAAAUAAUUAAUCGAAAACAAUGAAUUUAGUUGAAUUCUUGAUUCAAAAAUUGCAUAAUUUUUGUUAUAUUGCUAAUAAUUUGAUUAAUGUAUCCUGCAAAUGCAUUAAUGAAAAUCACGAAGCAAAAAGGUUAUUGGCUAAUGAUAAAUAUCUUUCUAAUUCUAAUAAUAAUUUAAUUAAUUAACGUAUCUUGGGGGAAAAAAAGUUGUUUUUUCUAAUUAUUAAUAUUAAAUAAUUUAUUAAAUUACUUGUGUUGGAAAGUACAAAAUAAUAUUAGCAUCUACUAUAUCUCCCUAGUCAGGCGGCGCUGGAAAAGGAAAUACAAAUAUAGUAAUAGAACAUUUGUCAAUAUUGACUAAGUAGCCCAUAUAGUUUAGUUAAUUAUAAGUGGUCCACUACAUUUCUCUCAUUUUAUUUUUUAAAUCGAUCCUUUGUUUGAUAUUUACGUUAAAGUUCGACUAUUUCAGAUUUACAUUGUUUAGGGUUCGAUUCGGGGGGAAAGUGUUUCCUACCAAGAAUGUUUCACAUCAAAGCUUAAAUCUAAGACUUUUGAUUAUAGAAAAAUCAGACUCAUCUAUUGUAUCUCUCUCUCUUUAAUAAGAAAUGGUCAACUUUAUCUAUAUACUAUAUGAAAUUAAGUAAUAUUAUCCUCCGCAAGUUACUGUCGAAUAUUACUUUUAUUCGUUUUGGUCCUUGACCUUUAAUGAUAUUUCAGUUUGAAGGUGAUUUUAUAUUGUAACAAAAAAUUGAAAGGAAAUAUUUGAAUCGAAGAAUUUAAACAUGUGCGAAUCUACCUCUUGUAAAUAAUGAAAAUCAAUAUGAUAUGAAUAGGUAGGAUGAAAUAUAACGAAUGAUAAAAUUGAAUAAUUUUUUUUUGCUAAGAAGUAACCAAAUAGUGCAAUACUUAGUUUUUAAGUUGUGUUUGAAAAUUGGCAUUUUUUUGUAACAAGGGUGUUUACAUCUAGGCAUGUAGGGUAAAAGCUUUUGGUCAACAUAACCAAAUUUAUGUCUAUUUUGAGAAACAUUUAUAUUGACAAUUAUUAAAGCCAACUAAUUAUCAUAUGUUUGACUAUGAUGCUUUAAUCAUUACUAUUUUCAUUUAUGGAAUUUUCAUCAAACUUUUCUUCUUUGUUGUUUUCUAUAUUCCAAAGUUCCCAACAACUUUUAUUUAGUACUCAUCCACAUCCACGAUUACGAUUAGUUCAAAAUAUUAUUGUAAUUUUUGUAACGAAUUAUAUAACGGAAAAGAGAUUAAUCUGAUUCAUGCAUGUAUAGAAAAUGUGUGUGGAGGCAUUAAUGAGAAUGUUUCAAAGUUUGACUAUAACGAGUUGUAAGAAAGGUGAAGAUAGUCCAGAGAAGAUCAAAAGAAAUAAUUAAACAUGAUAUAAUACAUCUUCAAUUUUUUUGAAAAUAUGAGUCAUAUUAACUCUAGUUAAGAAAAUUUUGAAGAUCGAGAAUCGGGAUAGAUUGUAGUGCUUAUACGGGGGAGAAACGGGGUUUUAUUCUCUUCUUCUCCUAAUUUAGUAAUCUUGCAUUUCCAAACAUAUCCAUAUGCGACUUUCAUCUGAUCAAACUAUUUUCUCCAAAAUAAAAAUAAUCGCCAAAUACAUGAACCUAUUUAAGAUAAAAAAAAUAACAAUUACAUUAAAUUAUAUUCAAAACCAUUAAUAUUUCACAAAAUCAAGGUGUUCAAUUUUCUUCUCCAAAUCUAUCCUUGACAUAUUCCUAAUUCAAUAUAGUUUUUUAAUGUUGUAUAUAACAAGCUAGAUAAAUAAACAAAUCAUAAUUAAAGGAUAUUAAUUAGUCAAAACCCACUACUUCAACUAAAGGGACUCAAGUGAAAACAAAAAAACUUUGGGUGUGUUACAUGUAACUUCCAAAACUUUAUAAGCAGAAUCUGAAAUUAGAUUGUUUUAUUAUGUAAGUGCGCUAAAUAAUUUAGGAAUAUUAUAAUAUACCUCUCACUUUUCCUUAUUUGUCAUUUUAAUAUAUAAUAAAAAAAAAAUUAAUUAUUUUUUCUUAUUUAUAUUUAAAAAUAUUAAUCACUUUUUUCUCUAAAAUCUAAAUUAUAUAUACAUCAAUCAAUACAAAUAUCCAUAUUAGAACGAUAGAUAAAAUUUAAAAUAAACAAAUAAAAAUAAUCGGAUCGAAUAAAUAUUGAUAUAUAUAUAUAUAUAUCUCGGUGGCUUAGAAAAUGACGUGGGGGCUAGCGUAGUUUGGAAUGAUCUAAACGUCACGUUUGUCAUCUUCCUCUCUCUUUCCCUCGUUGUUCGUGGUCAUAAAUAUAUAAUAUUAAGUAAAAUUAUACAAAAAUUAAUUCUGGGUUCGUUGAAUUUUGUGUAAAAAAUGAGUCUUUAUACAGAAAAUUCGACUUGAAAUUGUUUACUGACCAGUCAUUGAACCACUCUAAGCUUUGGUUUAUUUAGUUUUUAUACGAAGUGGGGUUGUAGAAAAUUCAAUUUUCUUGAGUUUUUUAUUUUAUUUUAUUAAUUUUAAGCUUUGGGUAUUAGAUAUUAACUCAUUUUGAUGAAGGGGUAGUUGGGUUUUGAUAAAGUUUUGACCUUUUUGUUGUUUGAAGUGAGGGUUUAUGCACAGCUGUUUUUUUUCUUUUUGGGGUUUUCUUGAUUUUAAUGGUGUAUGUGUUAAAGUUUUAAGCGGUUGCUUUUGGAAGUUUUUGUAUUUAGUCAACUGUUUGAAAGGGGUUUGUAGUUUGAUUUUGUUAUUGUAGAGUUUUUGAGUGUAUGAACUGAGGUUGUGGAUUGUUGAUGAUGAUGUGAAGAUUGGUAGAAAAGGCUAUAAGAGUGGUAAUUUUGGGAUGCCAAGUUUCAUUUCUCAGAUUCCAGUUUCAAAAAAUCACAUGUAUAUCUCUUAACAUACUUUCACUUUUUUUGAAUUUCUGUAAAGUUUAGUUUGCUCUUUGCAAGUGUUGGAUUUGUUUCAGAUGGGGAUUACUGUUUAUUCUUAUGUUUAUGUUGAAGGAUUCGAGUUUUGAGAUUGUUGUUAUAGGGACUAGGCUAUAUAUCUUUCUGUUUGUUUAUGUAAAUGAAAAAUAGAAGUCUCUUAUAGUUUGAUUGUAACUUGGAGAGGUGACUUUUAAUGAGUUUUAGGGUAGGAAUGAAAAAGGAGAGCUGAACACUCUUUGUUUCAGGAUCGGAUAGUUCCUGGUAGCGGUGGAGGUAGGAUUUUCGUUAAGGGGGUUCAGAAAUUAUUUUAACUUUUUAUAUAUCAUGUGUUUUCCGGCGAAGGGGAUUCAAAUGAACCCUCUUCUGCCCCUCUAAGCUUGCCACUGGUUGUCCAGAUCACUGUUUAGGUAAAUCAAGUAUUCCUAUUAAUACUCCGCUAGUCCUUAGAAACGCGUUUAAUUUAAUAAGAAGAGGAAAGAAUGUUCAACCACUUUGUCGUCAAGUUGUUUCUCAGAGUUCCUCCUGAAUAUUUACAGUGCAACGUGUUAGUAUAAAUCUAGAAUUAUUAUAUGUCAUGGUUGAUAUGCUUAUAUGAAGGUGACAUCUCCAAUUAUUAAUUCCUGUUUAACAGUAUUUUUGGGCUGUAAUUUUGGAUUUCAGGGGCACAGAAGGGAACAAUACAAAUACUUCUCGAAUGUCUGAAUUUGGGGUGCUUGAGCAAUAUCUUGGAUUCCGUAUUGGAGAUGGUGUUAAUGUUAAUCGAAGUAUGUAUUUUUAAGACUAGUCCUGAAUGUUCUUGGGCUGCCUAUCUUUCCUCUCACUCAUCUGAUAAAAGAAUCUUCUUAUGUUUGAGCGUUCUUUAAAUUACAGCUUUACAGUAGGCACCAAGUGUGUUUUGUCGUUAGUGUUUCUAGUGAGCGUUUGGUCACCGAUGAUCUCAUCAACAAGUUUUACUUUCUAUGCAAAUUUGGUAGUUGAGACUCCGAAAAGUUGAAAUGAGCUGAAGAGACUGAUCAUGGCGUAGGACUUCUCUUUGCUUUUCUAGCCAGUCAGGUCUAAAUGUAGUAAGAGAAGUGGGAAUUUGAACUUAACUUAGUUCCAACUGUAAGUGAGAGUUCAAGAUUAUAUAGGGAUAUGUGGACAUGAGGGUCCAACAUUGGGUAAUUUAACAUUGCGGGAAUUGCAUCAUACUAUUUAAAGAGCAACUGACCUUGGGCAUAACUCUACCCAAAAAACUAGUUCAUUCGGUGAGAGUUGCUGAAGACCAUAUAAAGAAGGUAAAAUUAAUACCCUUGACCUAUGUGGUACCGUAACGUAUGACUCCUCUUUAUAGAUAAUAUUUGAAAAAGUAAUAUUCUUAUGUGGAUAUCUAUAGGUUUGGAAGAUAUAUUCGACACAUAGUAUAUGAAGUAACCUCUAUAUAGAUAUAUUCGACACAUAGUAUAUGAAGUAACCUCUAUAUAGAUAAUAUAAGAAAAAUAAUAUUCCCAUUUAUGUUAUACGCACAUAGUAUAUGUAGUAACCUCUUUGUAGAUGAUCUACCAAAAAGUAACAUUCCUGUGUAGAUAUCUAUAGUUUGGAAAAUAUAUUCGAGUGCAUAGUAUUUGAAGUAAAUAAUGUUUUGUGGUGUUGAGAUAGCUAAUUUGGAUUAAGAAGACUAAGUUCAUUGUUCCAAAUAUUUGAUAUAUCUUGAACUGGGUCUUCCUAUUUGGACAAUGUUAAAUAAGAGAUAAAUUAGUAUUAUUCCAGGAAGGUUGGAUUUGGCACCAACAAACAAAUGGGAAUUGUUUUUUGUCCUAAUAUGGGUGCAAGACAUGUCACCUUUUUACAUAAAAAAGUAGCAGUGUCAAGAAAAAGUUCUGAUUGCAUUAAAUUUGGGUUUAGCUCUAAAUGCACUGUUAAAAAAUUAGGUCAAAAGCACGGACUUCAUAAGUUAUGUACCUGAUGGUCAUUUGCACAAUUUGCUCUUAUUUCCUGAUCUAUCUAUAUUUAAUACAGUCGCCACCAUCUGGUUUUGUGUUUGUCGUUUUCGGAUUACAAUGUAAUGUAAAGAUGGUACUCCCUCCGUUUCAAUUUGUUUGUCUUAUGUUCUUUUAUAACCCAUUUAAAAAAGAACGCCUCCUUUUUGACAACUCUUAUAUUUCCACUUCACAUGACAUGUUUAAGACCACAAGAUUAAAAGACAUUUUGGUACAUUCAACAUAUGAGUUCAAACCACAAGAUUCAAGUCCUCUUUACUUCUUAAACUUUGUGCCACGUCGAAACCAGGCAAACAAAUUAAAACAAAGGGAGUACCUAUCAAACAUAAUGUGAAAAUAUUGCAAACAAUAGCCAAAAAAUGUCGGAGAGCAUGGAGGACAAGGAUAAUUGGGGUUUUAUUCCUUUGUGCUCUUCAGACAAACUGCCCUGUCAAUGUAGCUUCCGGCGUGGAAGAACUAACUUAUGGUAUAAUAAACUGGAUUUGUGUUCUCCAGAUUCUCGAUAAUAUUGAACCUAAAUGUUUAGACUGAUGUUUGAAAGUGGUACGGAUCCCCCUUAUUAGAGAACUGUGGUUGCAAUGGUAUUCUUGAGCUUGAUGUCAACUGUAGUAGGAAUGCUAGAUUUUACUGACAAGCACUUGUGUUUCUUUUCUAGUGUUCAGUUAUAUGUGAACCACAAUUGUCCAGGAACUUGUCUCACUUAUGUGAAGGCUGACCAUUACCUGUGUAGUAUGAUUGAUGAAUAUAUCUUUUGUUGGUUUAGGUCCCCUAUUUAAUUCUACAUCUGCAGCUAAUCCAGCAGUGGGAUUUGACGUCUCUGGGACCAUCAAUAGGGUAAUUACGGCAUUUAAUCUCUCUACAUUUCUUCCUAAAGAGAAGUAGAAACUGUUAAUCUGAUAUUGCCAGAGAUUCCACAGACUGAGGGCAAGGCUUUAAGCUUAUUUUGAUAUAUUUUUUUUCCUAUUGAGCUUGCAGAAUUUAGCUCCUUCAAAUACAAGUUUGUCUACUGCUGCUCCAGGAUCUCAUGUAAUACAAUUGCAAUCAAACUUAGUUCCUGCAGCUGGCACUCAUCCUGAGAAUUGGGGCGAGUCCAACAUGGCAGAUUCUGGUUCUCGCACUGAUACUUCAACUGACAUGGAUGGAGAUGAUAGAAAUCAAAGGGUAAUUUACUCUGCUUGUCUCAGUUUCAUCGCCUAGCCUCUCUUAGUCCAUUUCUCUUUGGUUUGUAAAGACCUGCAAUGUCUUGGAACUUAUCUUGAUUUGAGUAAGAAUAAAAUUUAACCGAAGCAAAGAGUCAAGGGGCCAUCUAGGCAAACCAACAAAUAUCGACUGGGGUUUUGGUUGUUGUUAUUGCACUUGGCCACCUUCAUAAAGUGAAAUGUUAAUUUUGAGUCAUUUUGUUCUAUUUGGGUCUACGCUGAUCAGACUUGGGUUCGGGCAUCCGACUUGGUUGCUGCCUAUGGAAAAUUCAGAUUCUUUAUCACAUAAAUUUUAGGAUUCAAGGGUAUGUAUCCGAGUACUGAUACAGGUGCUGGGAUAUGACCAAUAACUGUUUAUUAUGAUAUAUAAAGUUAUAUUUCAAAUUUUCAAUUAGUUGAAGUUAUUGAACAUAAAUUAAUAGAAGUUCAUUCCUUAUAAACACCAAUAUUUUGUUCUUUUUUCACGCAAUAGAAAAGGGUUCUCAUACUUGACAUUUUCUGAGACUGACCACGUUCACAUACUUUAUCUAUAUUUAUGACAUAAAACCAAAAAUCAAACUAAAUACCAGAUCAAUUUAUACUUCUCGGUCUAGAAUGUGGCAAAUACCCAAGAUAAGUUGACCCAGUCUGCUAUAGAUCUCACACCCACACCUAUGUCGUGUCUACUUGGGUACGGUGGAGAUUUUGAAGAGUGCUUGCAACAUAGAUUUUGUCACUUGUAUGUCCGUGUAAGAAAGAGAAUGAAAUUUGGAGAAUCUCUGGUUAUCGAGAACUCUAAUUUUCCUUGAAUGAUUAGCACUAUUCCUUUCUCAUCUUAUAUGAUUCUUUUCUGUUUGGGAUGUCUCAAAAUGUUUUGACAUAUUCCAUCUCUGCAACUUUUACAUCUGUCAAGAAUCCAAAUUGUUUAAGGUAAUCAAAUUUCAAACUUCAAUCUUAUGUUUUAUUUGUUAGAUGAACUUUUCAAUCAUUAUUACUUGAAUUCUGCGACCCGUAAAAUUCAAAAUAAAUGGAAUGGAGUGUGUAUUAUUGAAUUAUUAAUCCAAAAUAUAAGACUAUUAUUUGUAUUGUAGAGAAAUGGAUAAGUGGAAUAGAUACAGAGGAUUCAUGUUAACCAAUCCCAAACUAGCUGUUAUUGAGCAAUAAUUGGUUAAUUGUCUAGGUUUCAUCACUUCAAUUUCAUACUUGAGUUUUUGGUUCACAAAUAUGUAUUUUUAUUGAACUGAACAGUUUGUACAUGCAACAUACACUUUCUCCUUAAGAAACAAGGGGAUUUUUGUAUUUUUUGUGGAUCUUUUAGUUUCAGUGAUUGUUAAUGCAGACUUUUAGUUUCGAACUUCCAAUAAUUGUUAUUGCAUGCCUAAAAAUUAAGCGGAAACUUCUUUAUCAUAAUCUGGUUUGUGUUCUUACAUUUCAGUCAUGUAUGAAAAUUCUUUUCCAUUAUGCAGAUUGAGACGGGUCAAUCCAGGGCUAUUGCAGCUUCUGAUUCCAGUGACAAAUCAAAAGAAAAAGUCUUGGAUCAGAAGGUUCAUUUCUCACUAUUUAGUCUUAGAAGAGGAGAACUCAUGUUCCUUUCUUAUUUUCGUUUUGCUUAUCAUCACUUCUUGCAGACAUUGCGGAGACUUGCCCAAAAUCGUGAAGCUGCUAGAAAAAGUAGACUGAGGAAAAAAGUAAACCUUUCUUCUCUCAUUCUCCACACUAGUUUGUCAUUUUAGUAUAUUAGGGAUGCUGAAGAGAAUAUGUCAGCUGAUUAUUUCUCACUCGUCUUUAAAUGACUAAUUCCGUACUUGCUUAUGCUGCAGGCAUAUGUACAACAGCUGGAGAAUAGCCGGUUGAAGCUAUCACAGUUGGAGCAGGACCUUCAGCGAGCACGUCAACAGGUAUUUGCUUCUUCCUUUCAUGUGCUUUCGGGAGGACAACUUGAGGAGGUUCCACAAUCUUCUCUUAUUUUGUUUUUUUGUGCAACUGAAGGGGAAGUACAUCUCAAACAUGGCAGAUCAAUCAAAUGGAGCGGGCGCCAGUGGUAUGCCCUUCUCUUGUAGCUCCCUUUUUUCAUUUCAACAAACAAGAAAAUUGAUGGGCUUCUUCUAGAUCUGUUGAGGAAGUAUCACUUCUUGAUGCUAAAUUGAGCUAGGAGUGGGUUGUUAUUUCAUGUUUCUUGCAUUUGAAUCUGUUACCAUCUGUUGUCGUUAGUGUUUCAGUUGCCACAUUAUUUCUUUUUUAUUAUUGUUCAUCUUCUGGAAGUCAUGUAUUGCUUUCCAUAUUAAUUAACCUGUUUUCUCCACUGCCAUAUCUCCUUUACCCCAGCCACUUUGAUUUGCUGCACUUGAGCCGAAGAUCUUUCUAAAAUAGUAUCUCUAGCUCUACGAGGUAGGGGUAAGGUCUGCACAUUCUAUUUCCCUCCCCAGAACCCACUUUUGGGAUUACUCCCAGCAGGACAGACUACACUUGAUGUAAUAAAGACUUGUUCUAGGAGAGCAAAACUGGGUAUGUUGUUGCAACUUCCGUAGUUUGACAAUACUCUUUAUUGUAUCAGCUAUGAUAUCUUUAAGAUCAUCUAGAUGUGCCUCUCAUAGGUGACUAUGACAGGAUUUGGGUAGUUCUAGGAAAUUUUGGGUGGAAUUUGAAUGGUUGGUUUCAUUAGACAGAUAAGCAUCCACCAUAUUGCAGUCGAAACAGAUAUUUAUACAUGAUGGCUAUCUCUAUCUUAAAAUCUUCCUAUAUGCACUUUAUGCACCUUUCAGUUUUUCCAGGAAUAGUUUGUCUCACAUAUUUUGUGUGUCGCAUGGUCUCUGUUUAGGUAGCAAAUAAGACGGAAAUAAUGUGUGUUUUUAAUUGAAGGAGAUUGUUAGAACUUCAGUUUUCUUGAGUUUCCCUGAUUAAGUGGAUUCAAUUAAUGAGAUAACUUGUGAAAUCCAUCUGCGUGUCAAUACACUGUGGAUGGCAUUUAAUUCAAUAUUGAGGAACAAAGUAAACUGCAACUUUCAAUUGGUACUUGGUUCAUGUUCGUAAGUCUCACACUUGUGAUGGUUGCUACGAUUAAGAUAAUGAAUGAAUCGGUUGCUGCUUUAUGCAUUCAGUUAAAUACACGACUUUUUUUGUAUUAGGCUGGCCAUUCUUAAUAGGAUAACGUUCAACCCCUAAUUUCUGAUUGCACUGAAAAAGUUGUUUUCUCGUGGUAAGAUAACCUUUCAGAUGCUGCUGUUCUGCAGGGACCUUAGCAUUUGAUGCAGAAUAUAGUCGAUGGUUAGAAGAACACAACAAACACAUCAAUGAAUUGAGAACCGCUGUCAAUUCACAUGCAAGUGACCCUGAACUGCGAAGUAUUGUGAAUAAUGUCACUGCACAUUACGAUGAGGUCUUUAGGGUGAAAGGAAAUGCAGCCAAGGCAGACGUAUUCCAUGUCUUGUCAGGGAUGUGGAAAACCCCUGCCGAGCGAUGUUUUAUGUGGAUUGGUGGCUUCCGCCCCUCGGAACUUCUUAAGGUGACCUCUUCUUGUUUUCAUGUGUUCAAUUUUGCAUCUGUUCUUGUAUAUUUCCAGUCUAGGCUUUUCCUGUAAAGGAUUAUAAAGAGCCGUUAUGCUGCUUGAUCAUGUAUGAAAAGGUCCUAUUAUUAGCAGGACUGAUAAGUUCUUAGUAGUGUGGAUUCAUUGAUUUAUGCCUGUGAAAAUUUACUUGCUAAAUAUUGGAUGGUUUCACUUUCCGAACGAAUGAGGUGCCGUGUAGUGUACAAUUGCAUUUUUAUGUCAUUAUCCUCUAUAACACCAUCACUGUAGUCUCGUGACCUUGGUUCUGUCAUUCUCCUUCAAAUGGCAUGGACUUACAUUUAUUGUACUGAAGCUUUUGAUUUUCUUCUUGUGUUCACUGGCAUAAUAGCGACUCUAAAGAAAACCUGAUGCCUAGAAGCAAAAACUUGGAUGAAAUUGUGUGAUUAUCUCUAUCCAUCCCGGAUGAGGUUUCCUGAGCUUCUCCAGCUUGGUGAUGUUAGCAGACUUCCAGUGGCAUCUGAUGUUAAAUAUGCUUUCACUCUGUCCGUUCACAGAUGUUUGUGCAGGAAUUAUAUCUGUGCUGUACAUUAUAUUUUCCUCUGUUCUUGUGUCAUUUGUUCACGCGUCAAUCAGAUGUUGACAAUUUAAGAACUUCAAGUUGCUUCUGUAGAUAACACCCUUCUGUGUAUGAGUUUCUUUAUAACCAAUUAGGGGCAUUAUUUCUUUAUAACUAUCUUAUCCGUAGGCUGAGAUUGUUCGACAUGUAAAGAGAAGGUGCGUGGAUGCGCCUGUAAGGGAGUGUGGGAAAUUCAUUGUUAACAAGGAGAGGGAGAGGUAGGCCGAGGAAGAACUGGGGAGGUGAUAAGACAAGACAUGAACUGCAGCUUAGUAGGUAGCGAGUACGUAAUGGAGUGUUGUCACGCUUUGUGUGUGAGAGGCAGGGCCUAGCCUCCUCUACGCUUCUCCUUAUUAGUAUUAUUAUUUAGUAAUCACGUAGUUUCCUUUACUUUAAUGUGUAUUGCUAUCUUUUGCUAUUCCUUUUCGUCAUUUGCUCUGUACCUUGCUAUUUUGUUGCUACCAUGCUUCAAAUUAUUUUCUUUUCUUUUGAGCCGAGGGUCUAUCAUAAACAACCUCUCUACCCACAAAGGUAGGGGUAAGGUCUGCGUACGUCCUACCCUCUCCUCUCCUGACUCCACUUGUGUGAUUACGCUGGGUAUGCUGUUGUCUCAUUUUUUGUGAAAUGAUUUCUUUGGUAAUGCAGCUUCUAGUCAAUCAGUUGGAGCCUCUGACCGAGCAACAGUUAGCUGGCAUUUACAACUUGCAGCAGUCAUCCCAUCAAGCAGAAGAUGCCCUUUCACAAGGUAUGGAGGCGUUGCAGCAAUCCUUGGCAGAGACAUUAGCUAACGGAUCUCCUGCUACUGAAGGGUCAUCAGGAGAUGUAGCUAAUUAUAUGGGUCAGAUGGCAAUGGCUAUGGGGAAAUUAGGGACUCUUGAAGGUUUUCUCCGUCAGGUAACUCUAUUUUUGCGGCUGCUUCCUUUUUUGUUUGUUUUAAUUGUUUACAAUAUAUAAGCUGCAAAUGCUCGUUCAGUUGUUUGAACAUGUGGAAGUCGGGGGCAAGCAAUUAUUGUUCUGGAGGUCUUUGUAACUGCAACCAGCAUGCAUUGCCCACAGAAUCUUCAGAAUGUCUUGUUUUUAUUGGUCUUUGGAAAAAAAAUGUCUGGAUACUUUGUCCUCUUUUAUGUCCUUUAAUGAGAUCAUAAAAUAACCGAAGGGUUAUGUUCUCCAACGUUCUUAAAUCAACAAUUGUCCUUCUGUCUCAUACUUGUAUCUCUCUUGUGAAUCAUAUGAUUCAAGACAGCCAGUCAAUGUUCAGAGAUUUCUGGUUUGUUAUAUUAGUUUUAUGUCGUCAGUGGAGGCAAAAUACGUGAAGCUAAACGUCGUUGCAUCUUUCUGGCUCUUUUAACAGGCGGACAACCUGCGUCAACAGACAUUGCAACAAAUGCAUCGCAUAUUGACAACCAGACAAUCAGCCCGUGCUCUUCUUGCAAUAAGUGAAUACUUCUCACGUCUUCGAGCUCUCAGCUCUCUUUGGCUUGCCAGACCACGAGAGCAAUAAGUAUGACAUGCAUUGCGAUAUUCUACUGAAACUCAGAUAUACUACUUCGAUACACUGGCCGGUAUAUGAGAUCCAGCAAAGUUACUCUUAUGUAUAAAGUGGUAUUGUAUGUGCUUGUGGAAGUGCAGAAUUUGUUUUCUUUCUCCUUAGGUUUAUAGAAUGCCAAAAUUUUACUUUGUGACUUAGGAACCAAUAAUGUACCUGUGUUUUUAGUUUUACAAGGAAAAAGUUUAGGGAUUUUUAAGAAGUGUAAUAGAUAUUUUUAGAAAGUUUUAUGCUUAAUCAAAUUAUAGCUUGUGACUACAAAAGUCUCUCUUCUGAUAUGUUGGAAAAUAUACAAGCAUAUUUCUGCAAGAAAUGUUAGAAUCUGUUGUUAUUUAUCUUUCCAUAAAAUCUAAUUACACCAACAAAACUUGUGAAAAAAUAAGGAUGAAUAUGUUGAUAUAUUUCUUUUUCUUCAUCUUUAUACUCCUGUUUUCUGAAUUAUAAAUGUCAUACUCUACUUUUCAAGGUCAAGUUGAAUUAUUUUGAAUAAAAAUAUGUAGAUUACUAGAUUGUUUAAAAUACUGAUAUCUCAAAUUGUCGAUGUAGUGAUGAAGAACGAUCACUUUAUUCAUAUAUUACAUUCAUCAAUAUGAUAUAUUAUCGAAAUAUACAUAUAAGUUCCAUUCAAACAAUGAAUUUUGUCCCACAUCAUCAUCAAGGAGAAAGCAGAGCAAAAGUUGUAGUACAAGUAAUGGGCUGAGCAGACUGGAAAACAUACUUACCUGGACGGGGUCAAUGGGCGAUCAAUAAGACCCAUGGCCUAGGCUUGUGACCUUCAUUGCACUUUGGAGGGGUGCCUGCCUAAGGUCGGCCCAAGUGGUCGAGCCUACGUCAUAAUUUGUUGCUGUGGGGGCCUGCGUUCGCGCGGCCCCUGCCCAAUACUAAGAUCUAAAUUUGUUUGGUCAUAUAUUAAGCACGGCUCUAUAAUUGGGCUCCAAAAUAUAUUAAAUUGUUAUAUUAUAUAUUAAGUGUGAAUAAAAAAAUAUAGAAAGAUAAAUUUAGUUUGAAUAUGUCAUAAUACAUUCAUAAAGAAAAAAAUUGGUUAAACAAAAUAAAAUGCUAAUAAGAAUUGCUCAUGUUAUAAAGUGAGUGAAAAUGUUAUGAAAAGUUGUUCAUAUAUGAAUUUAUUUCAACUGUUCUCAAUAUAGCUGUUGUUUCUAUACUUGAUUUUGAUGCUUCCUGUAUGUAUUUUGUUCUUUGUUGGAUUCUGGAUAUGAGCUUGUGUAUUACCGUGUUUGAUGUCAUUAUCCAUCACAGAACUCGGCCUUUGUCAGUGGUCUUCUAAUGUGACAUAAUGCUGUUUUGUUCUCGAUGAUAACUCCUGUCUGUGAUGUCGUAAGACACUUAUUUUGCUUGUAUCCGUAUAUGGCUAUACAGAUAACACUCCUGUUAGCUGCUACUGUAUAUACAUUUUCACGUAAGCUUAUAGACUCUUGUUGAAGACGCAGAAUAAGGUUCUGAACAAAAUGAACCUGACAUAAGUCCGAAGAAGUUGAAAACCAACAUGACCUGAGGAAGCUGGUGAUGCUGCAGCGAUGCUAUAUAAGAAAUGUGUGUGUAUUAUUAUAUAUGUUAUCGAUAAUUCAUCCUUUCUUAGAGAAGUUGCCUUGUUUAAUCAAGACAACAACUCUUCAGUUGAUUGAGCCAUAUCCAUUUUCUUUGGAUAAUGUAAUACAAGAACAGAAAGAUUCUGAAGGAAAUCGCGCUGCUGUUAACAGUUGCCAUUUUGUUGGCUUGUUGCUCUAUAUGUUACUGAUUACUCGGAGAGUAACACCGUUUUCGACUAAUUCUCCCACAUCAGCAUCUGAGAGAGAAGUGGAGUAAAGACAGUAGUAUUAGUAAUGAGCUGAGCAGGCUGGAAAACUUACUUACCUGGACGGGGUCAAUGGGCGAUCAAUAAGACCUAUGGCCUAGGCUUGUGACCUCCAUUGCACUUUGGAGGGGUGCCUGCCUAAGGUCGGCCCAAGUGGUCGAGCCUACGUCAUAAUUUGUUGCUAUGGGGGCCUGCGUUCGCGCAGCCCCUGCCCAAAUCUACGCCCAAAAAUUUCUCUGGCCCAUCUGAAUUUUACAAAAACAUAUGUUUUCUCUGCCCCAUCUGUUUGAUAUAAGAUUAUUUCGACUACAUUAUCAAACACAACGAUAAGUGAUGUCUAUAUGACUAACAAUCUAAAAGUGCCAUAAGUCAAAGAAGGCGCGAUAAUGAGUCUUGGCUUCAAAGAUCAAAUAUUUGUCUUGAAAAUACAAACCAGCUACAGUACUAUUACAUUGGGCCUGAUCUUAUGGGUAGCGAAUACCUUUAGCAGAUGCAGGAGCUUGUGGAUGAUUCCAAGAGUUUGUGCUGCAUAUUCUUAAGUUUGGCAAAGGCCAUUAGUCUAAAAACUAAUACCUGUUUGAAGGACUAGUUACAGAUUGCUAAGUUCUAGAUGACUUACUUCUACAGAAAUUGGUUUACUAGAACAAUUGUUUAUAUGGCAUUGGUGAGAGUUGCUUUGGCUGAUCGAUACAAAACGAAGAUCUGCUGAAACAGAUAAGGGUAUAGCUGGUUUGCUUAUGGUCCUUUGGUUUGUAAGAUCAAUGGCUAUACAGUUAACAUUUUCAUGUAAGACUGAAGAAGUUGAAAACUAACAUGACCUGAGGAAGCUGGUGAUGCUGCAGCGAUGCUAUAUAAGAAAUGUGUGUGUAUUAUAUACGUUGUCCAAAAUUCAUCCUUUCAUAGAGAACUUGACUUGUUUAAUUAAGACAACACUCUUCAGUUGAUUGAGCCAUAUCAUCCAUUUAUAACUCAAAAUCUGAUUUUAUUAAUGUCUCUUGAAUGCUCUCUUUGAGUAUAGACUUCAGUUUUUUCCUCCAUUUCUUUUGAUGAUUGCCAUGUUACCAGAGACUAACUUUUUGUUAUCUAUGCCGGGGAGAAUGUCAGCGUGUUGCUACUUAGUUUAGCGAUGUUGUAUAUGUUACUGAUUACUCGGAGAUUAACGCCAUUUUGGACUAAUUCUCCCACAUCAGUAUCUGAGAGAGAGAAGUGGAGCAAAAGCAGUAGUAUUAAUAAUGGGCUGAGCUCACUGGAUUACAUACUUACCUGGACGGGGUCAAUGGGCGAUCAAUAAGACCUAUGGCCUAGGCUUGUGACCUUCAUUGCACUUUGGAGGGGUGCCUGCCUAAGGUCGGCCCAAGUGGUCGAGCCUACGUCACAAUUUGUUGCUGCGGGAGCCUGCGUUCGCGCGGCCCCUACCCAAACCUAAGUAAAAAUGUUCAUCUCUUUAGUUGAUUGAGUAGAGUAAUGCAUAUCUUAUUUAUUUAAAAUACCU
rnacentral:lncRNA from 1 species